rnacentral:lncRNA from 1 species
UGAGAGCCCAAACAAUACGACAGUGAAACAGAUGGACAACUCAGGGAUCUACAAAGUGGUAACGUCCCCUCGCGUGCUGCGGCCCGGACAGGGCUCACAGCACAGCACAGCACACAGUAUCCACGCCAGCACAGUGCUUCCCCACCACCGUGGCAUGCAGCUGGGCAGGCAAUGCCCCGCAACGCCGAGCAGGUGACUGCUGUGCUGCAAAGCAGCGCUCUUCCUAUGGAAACCUGCUGAUCGGGGCUGCACCCGGCGCUGCAGCGGGACCACCACCCCUGCACGUCCAGCAGCAGCUGUCAGCUCGGCCCCUCUCAACAGGAUCUUCCCUUCAAGCUUUGAGCCACAGCGAGCAGUGCCCCACGUCCCGGCUCUGCCCUGCUCCCUCCUGCCUGUUGCUGGGGAGAAAGGACCAGGGGGAGCCUUCCUGCGUGAGCUGCUUCCCACUGCCGCUGUAGAAACUCACAGGGCCUCUGCUGCAGCGCCAGGUAAGCACAGGCCAGCGGGUGUUGGCUGACAGUGCAUCUCCUCCAGCCCCAGCAAACCUCCAGCUGUGCCUGGCUAAGCCACGAGCACGUGCCAGUAACGCGGCAAAGCCCAGCCGAGGAGACGGUGGCUGUCCCCGAGCUCAUGGGUAAUUAAGGACCCUGCAGCUACUGCUGAGAUGGAAGCAAUAACAGUUUCAGUGGAUGGCAGCUGCGGUGCGGAGCUGAAAAGCCACCCAGGACCCCACGUGUGCAGCAGGACAGGCGGCAGGUGACCAUCCCCAGGGCUGGGGAUGACGAGCCUUUGUCUCCAGAAACCCAAACCAAAGGACCGGCAAGCACGAGGCGAGACACGACGCCACAAAACCUUCCGUCAGCUCAUCUGCUCACCAGCACUAUAAAAGUAGGUCAGUGCCACAGCGAGCCCUCGCCUCCGAGCGAGGUGGGAGCCCUUCUCCCAGCAGUGUCACCAUCUCCCCCAUACCGUUACCCGGUGAAUUCGGGUGUGCAAAGCUACACCAAAACACAAACCAACAUGAAACGCAACGAGUGCCGCUUUCACACGUACACACACGCACAGUAGAGCAGGGCAAGGUACACGUGGCAGGCAGGACCCAGCAAUCCUGCACUAGCUGCUGCCCGUUUCUUUACAGUAGGUUGAAACACACGGAGGAGCACAGUUCGGUCGUUGCAGUGGGUCUGCCUGCCCCAUGCCUGCCCCAUAGCUGCUGGGCUGUGUGCAGUGGCCAGAGAUGGAGCCCAACGCUCAGCUCCUGCCACAGCAGUGGGAGCCUCGAGGAACAAAUCUCACACUCAUUUCCUUUUAAAGGGGUUUUUCGAUUCAACAGCCUCGAUAGAAUUGAAAAGAAGAAAGAAAGAAAGAAAGAAGAAAAAAAAAGGGAUGUGCUUAUACACCAUCUCCCACGCUGCUGCUGCUGCUAGGCAACGCUACGCAGUCCUACAGCAUCGGCUCAGGUCAACCAAAACCACAGGAGUAGAUGGACACAGCGAUGUGAGCCCGAGCUGAGCCCUGCCCCAGCUGUGUGCUGGCAGCUGGGAGGCAGCGCUGUGGGAAGGGGCAGUGGGAGCACACACACAGCCUGCACGGCCUCCUCCUCCCCUCUGCUCACUGGGAGGAUUUCGUUAAAUCAAAGCCAGCAGAGCAGCCCAGCCCUGAGCUGCAGCAGGGAGCGCUUUCUCACCUUGCUUCCCAUCAGCCCAGCAGCAGGGCAGAGCAGGACCCGUCCCAGCAGGACCACGUGGCUUCUCCAAACCUUUCUGAGCUGCUAAAGCUGGGAAAGGUUCAAAAGCACCCCUGUCCUCCAACAGCACAUUCUGAAAACGCUUGCAGAGCCUGCCCACAGGGGUGGGAGCCAAGCGGACUCCCCAGAGCUUCGGUCCCUUACCCUGAAGGCCAGAGAUGCGUGCUCUUCCACACGGCAGGCACGCCCUAUUCCCCAAGCCUCAACCUACUCCACACUGCCUCCGUGUGAGAGCAUCCCCUCAUCCUGGCAGCAGCGAGAUGUGCCAACAAGCAAAAGCCAGGCCAAACAGAGCCCUGGCGCAGGGCGCCCUGCUGCCCAACAAAGAUGAAGAACCCACCCAGCUUCACACGCUGCCCUCUUCCAUCUGUAGCCUCCACUGCAGCACAGGACCACACCACACAGCAAAGCUCAGCCUGCAGCAACGCCCUGCUGGGGACAGCGUGCAUCCCAUAGAGAAAUGAAUGCCUGAGCAGGGAAUGCUCCCAAAGCAGACAGCAAGGACAACUUCCUACAGCCUGCAGGUGGUCAGCAGCUCUGUUACAGCCUCACAGUCCCUAUGAGAAGUGCUGGGUGGCUCAGCUGGGCACGACGGCAGCACAGUCCGGGCAGGACAAAGGCAGAGCAGAUGAAGCAGCCCACGCUAUCUCAGGGGUGCAGUGUGACAGAUGGAUGGGCAGGCAGCUGGACUUGCAGAGCCCCUGGCUGCGGCUCCAGCCGCUACGCCGAUGGAUCACUUCACAGGCAACGGCUCAUCUUCCUGGGAGAGGGCAGAGUGAUGCGAGUCGGAGUUGGCACGCAGUUCCUGGCUCCUGGUGUGCAGUCCCUGGGACGGACAGAGGUCCCUCCGAGCGUGGCUAGAAGUUAGAUUUGGAGUGUCCAAAUAUGCAGAUGGGAAAGUGCUUGACAUGAGAGGACCACUGUGCUGCCAGCUGAAAGAACUUGACGUCGUUCCACUCCACCCCGUCGAUCAGGACUGCAGGGGAAGGUUAAAAAAUAGAACAAUAAAACGGGUGAGUUAGAAAACAGCGAGUGUUAAGUGGGCAACCAGAAACAGCUUUGCUAGGAAGCUCCUUGCAGUCAGCAGAGGGAGGCCUGGCUACAUUCUGUGCUCAGGGUGUGAGCUGCACUGCUGGGCCAACCCACCGCCGUCG